rnacentral:rRNA from 1 species
UACGUAGGGUGCAAGCGUUGUCCGGAAUCAUUGGGCGUAAAGCGCGCGUAGGCGGCCAGAAAAGUCCGCUGUGAAAACUCGAGGCUCAACUUCGAGCUGUCGGUGGAAACUUUCUGGCUAGAGUCCGGAAGAGGAGAAUGGAAUUCCUGGUGUAGCGGUGAAAUGCGCAGAUAUCAGGAAGAACACCCGUGGCGAAGGCGGUUCUCUGGGACGGUACUGACGCUGAGACGCGAAAGCGUGGGGAGCGAACAGG